AAAGAAGCGGAGGGAAGCAACACAGCGCAGCGUGACUACGUGCUUGAUCUGUCUCCUCCUAAUGGGCAUGCAGGCAACCCAGGUGCCUUAGGGAAGUGACCCCAUUCCCUGCCCUGUCUUGGAGGGCCGGAUGAGUCAAAGAGUAAUCUUAUCCCUCUGCUAGUGAGUACAAAUGAAGUCUGUGGGCCAACAAGGAGCGAGGAGCAGUUUCCUGGAAGCCCUGGGCUGGUGUUUGACUUGCUUUGAGAUAGAAUAAAUGGGAGAAAGAGACUUUAUGGGACAUCUGGGCCUAGGGCUCCUGGAUGCUGUGCUGAAAACACCACGUACAGAAGCCAGUCUAACCUUCUGGAUGAUGAGAGCCCAGAUGCAGCACAGAGAUGCCCCGGCCAACAAUCAGCUGCUAUCUGGAUCCCAUCUGAAUCCCAUGUCACCAUGAAUGAGGCCACCUUAGCCCAGCCAGCACAGCUGAAAGCCAGAAGCAGCCGCAUGCACGAGCCCAGGGGAAGCCCACAGAGGAACCACCAGCCAACACACAGAAUAGCAAGCAGUAACAACUCAGUGUUCUUAAGCAACUAAGAUUAAGACAACAAUUUUAAAAUGAACCAGGCCCGGCCGGGCACGGUGGCUCUCAUGCCUGUAAUCCCAGCACUUUGGGAGGCCGAAGCAAGCGGAUCACCUGAGGUUGGGAGUUCGAGACCAGCCUGACCAACAUGGAGAAACCCCGUCUCUAUUAAAAAU
rnacentral:lncRNA from 1 species